UACGUAGGGGGCAAGCGUUGUCCGGAUUUAUUGGGCGUAAAGAGCUCGUAGGCGGUGUGUCGCGUCGGUCGUGAAAACUUGGGGCUUAACUCUGAGCUUGCGGUCGAUACGGGCAUCACUGGAGUUCGGCAGGGGAGACUGGAAUUCCUGGUGUAGCGGUGAAAUGCGCAGAUAUCAGGAGGAACACCGGUGGCGAAGGCGGGUCUCUGGGCCGAUACUGACGCUGAGGAGCGAAAGCGUGGGGAGCGAACAGG
rnacentral:rRNA from 1 species